CCGGGUCCCACGCGCAGUCGUGAACGAGCUUACGCAUGGACGGGGCAACAUUUAACCCCCGCGGCAAAAACGACGAAGCUUUGGAAAAAUUGUGUUUUAGAGCUGGGUUGAGGAGUAGAGAUUGGAGAGAUUGGAAGGUGGAAUCGGGACGGUCAAAGGAAAGAGAGAGAGAAGGGAAGGGGAUCUUUAAAAGAGAAGUGGGGAGAGGGAGGAGAAGAAGGAUUUGAAAGAGAAAAGAGAGGAACGGAGAGGCGGGAAUGAGAUUAAGGUUUUCACUGCAACUAAAAGAGUAAUCAUGUAUGGCUCUUGGUCUUGGAGAUGAAGGAGAGGAUUCAGGUCGAUUAAGAGGACUAUACGCUGCAUUUUGGUGUAGUCUGCCGCCAUUGGUAGAAGUUUCGAAGUGGGUUUCUGUUUAGAUCCGAGUUUGACGAAGAAACGUGGUGGUUGCGCUUGGGACAAUAUUGUUUUUGCACUGGUCAAUGUAGAAAUUAAACGAUGGUAGGGUGUUUUUUUAUAAAUAAAUGAAUUCUCGCCAUUUAUAACAAGCCGAAACCUCAAAAGAAGAUUUUAAAAAUUACCCGAAGAUUCGAAAAAUAGUAGAGAAUUUUUUAAAAAGCUAGAACAGAGCAUGCUAGACUUUUGUGGACCAAAUUCAAAAGCCGAAGGGCACGGCCCAAAAGCUUUUGAAUACAAUAACUUACUAGAAAGCUCCAUUUUUUGUUGGCUACAGUAAAAGUAUGUUGUUUUAUGCUUCUUAUAUGUUACGCUUGCAUCAGCCUCAAUCACUUCUUAAUCGCUUGCUUUAACUGCAUCGCUCUCUGUGUACUCUUCUACACAUGUAACGGUUAUGCGGUUGUAGUUCACGGCUGAGGCUACGUGUUGGUUUGACGCGGCAGUUACGUUACGACAUUACGAGUCUGUUAAACAUUCGGUGAUAGAGCAUUAUUAGUUAUUUUAAGGGGACAAAUAAGAUUGGUUGCAAUAAACCCACUAAUAUUAUAAAAUUCGAGUAAUAUAGAAUAAAAUAAAAAAAUAAAUACAAAAUUGGCUUUUAUUUUUUAUGGUUGACUGUAUUUUGUGUUCUCUUAACAACUUAAGUUCACAACACUUGCAUUCUAAAGGCUUCCCACUAACAUCUAAUAUCUCAAGACUCAACGUUGCUUUACAAUAAUUGUUAUUACUACCAAACAAACAUGAAGAAACCCCGAUUAUCGGAUAAAUCAACCCAAAAUGAACAAGAGAAGAACCCAAAACAAGUGAAUCGCUAGAGCAAAACCCCCAACCCAUAUCCCUAAUCCCACACUCAAAAAAACCCAAUUUCUCUCCAAAGUCAUUGACACUAGCAUCACUACUAGACUCUAAUUCCAAUCCUAGAUUACAUUUAAUGUUAACCCAACUAAAAUGAAUGUUCUUACUACAAUACGCAUCGUUUACACUCUCAAACAACGCGCUGAACUUACUCUUAAACGAUCCCACAUUGGUCAAACACUCAUCACUCACAUCGACAUCCAAGAAUUCACUCAAAAACUUCAUAGACUCGACAAUUGGAGAAAACAAAACCACUAAACUCAACUUUAUACAAGCAUACCCAUCGAGAAUCUUACCGUCAUUAACCGAAUCACAACAAAUGACCGGGUCCCACGCGCAGUCGUGAACGAGCUUACGCAUGGACGGGGCAACAUUUAACCCCCGCGGCAAAAACGACGAAGCUUUGGAAAAAUUGUGUUUUAGAGCUGGGUUGAGGAGUAGAGAUUGGAGAGAUUGGAAGGUGGAAUCGGGACGGUCAAAGGAUAGAGAGAUAGAAGGGAAGGGGAUCUUUAAAAGAGAAGUGGGGAGAGGGAGGAGAAGAAGGAUUUGAAAGAGAAAAGAGAGGAACGGAGAGGCGGGAAUGAGAUUAAGGUUUUCACUGCAACUAAAAGAGUAAUCAUGUAUGGCUCUUGGUCUUGGAGAUGAAGGAGAGGAUUCAGGUCGAUUAAGAGGACUAUACGCUGCAUUUUGGUGUAGUCUGCCGCCAUUGGUAGAAGUUUCGAAGUGGGUUUCUGUUUAGAUCCGAGUUUGACGAAGAAACGUGGUGGUUGCGCUUGGGACAAUAUUGUUUUUGCACUGGUCAUUGUAAAAAUUAAAUGACGGUAGGGAGUUUUUUUAUAAAUAAAUGAAUUCUCGUCAUUUAUAACAAGUCGAAACCUCAAAAAAGAUUUUAAAA
rnacentral:lncRNA from 1 species